rnacentral:tRNA from 1 species
GGUCGCUUAGCUCAGUUGGUUAGAGCGUGGUGCUAAUAACUUGGUUUCUCUCAAGAGUUUCCAAACUGUUAAACGCCAAGGUCGCGAGUUCGACCCUCGUAGUGACCA